UACGAAGGGGGCUAGCGUUGCUCGGAAUCACUGGGCGUAAAGCGCACGUAGGCGGCUUUGUAAGUUAGAGGUGAAAGCCCAGGGCUCAACCCUGGAAUUGCCUUUAAGACUGCAUCGCUUGAAUUGUGGAGAGGUGAGUGGAAUUCCGAGUGUAGAGGUGAAAUUCGUAGAUAUUCGGAAGAACACCAGUGGCGAAGGCGACUCACUGGACACAUAUUGACGCUGAGGUGCGAAAGCGUGGGGAGCAAACAGG
rnacentral:rRNA from 1 species